GAUGAAGAACGUAGCGAAAUGCGAUAAGUAAUGUGAAUUGCAGAAUUCCGUGAAUCAUCGAAUCUUUGAACGCACAUUGCGCCCCCUGGCAUUCCGGGGGGCAUGCCUGUCCGAGCGUCAUUUCUGCCCUCCAGCCCGGCUGAGUGUUGGGCGCUGUCCCCCCGGGGACACGCCCCAAAGGCAGUGGCGGCGCCGCGUCGGGUCCUCGAGCGUAUGGGGCUUUGUCACCCGCUCGGGACGGACUCGUCGGCGCUGGUCUUCCUCCAGGCGACCCUUCGGGGCUCGUCUUCCUUCGGUUGACCUCGGAUCAGGUAGGGUUACCCGCUGAACUUAAGCAUAUCAAUAAGCGGAGGA
rnacentral:misc_RNA from 1 species